rnacentral:lncRNA from 1 species
GAAAAGAAAGAAUAAGAACCCUAGGGAGAAAAUUCAAGAGAAAAUUGGUGAAUUUCAAGUAAUCAAGCAAUCAAAGGUAAAAUUUCUUAAUUUUGACUUGUGAUCUACCUUUCCCAUGCAUUAUUUUGCAUUUUCCAUGGUUAAAUUAUAUGUUUUCAUGGUGAAUUCAUGGCUAGCUGAAUGGGUAUGGAAAGAGAAUGAUGUUGGAUUGAUUUGAUUUCAAGUUAUGUUAGUGUUUUUAGUUAGUUUACCAUGUCUAGAAAUAAAACAACAAGAAAAAAAUUCAUUUUCCCCAUCACCCAUCAAUGGCCGAACCUACCUUGUAUUGAGUGAGGAUGAAUUUUAUUUUUAUUUUAAGAGAAUUGGUUAGAAAAUGAUGAAUUAUGGUGUGGAAAAGUAGUAGAAAAAAUCACGGUGUUGAUGCACCAUUAUUGACCGAAAAUUCUAAGAAGAAAAGUGAAGAUGGAUUUGCCAAAUUUUAGGUUAUUUGACUUGUGUUUGGUGAAUUAAGGUAUUGAAAAAGAAAUGGAGUUUAUUGGAGUUAAAUUGGACAUAUUGGCCAAUUAAUCGGGUGAUUAAUCGAGUUAGGCCAACACCGCAUAUAGACAAUAAUCCGAACAAUUCGCGUUUCAUAUCAUGCAUCCUUAUAGAGUUUAGAAUAGUUUUAUAAUGGUCUAGCACCAAUGUGGUAAAUUGCUUGAUUUUACAUUAUGUCUAGGUGGUGGAUCCUCUGAAAAAAGGGCAAAGAAAUUGCACUCGAGGAUCAAUAGUCAGAGUACUUCAAAAUCCAAACUCUUGACAUAAUAAGUAACCUUAUCAUCAUCUUAAUUAUCUAAAGUAUGUUUUAUUCGAUUUUGAGAAUUUUAUGAAAAAUGAAUUAAAUGAUUAAUUUUUCGAUUUUAUAAACAAAAUGUGUUUAAAUGAAAUGAUUUUGUAAAUUGUUUUGAAAUUAAAUGAUGGCUUUGAAAAUAGAGUAAUUGGAGACCACUUGAUGUGUUGUAAAUUUAUGGUUUUAAUUGAUUGGCUUAUGGCACUAUGGGCAUGAAUGGUCGAAUUGCUAAAUGUGUUGAGAUAUAUGAAUUGUUGAUUUACCUUAAAAGGCUGUGAAUUACAAUAAUUGACAUAUCAUGCUAUUGAAUUUUAUUGAUUGGUGGGAUAAUUAUUAGCUUACUGCAGUGGGCGGGUUCCGUGGACUAGCCUAUUAGAGGGGCACGGUAACCCCGUUAUAUUUUACCUCGGUUGGAGAGGCGAGUAGGGUAACUCCCGAGGUAUAACUUUUAGAGUUCACUUCAUGCCAAACCACCACGUGAGGGUGAACUCAGCCAACGCCAAGGAACUGCUAUGUUUUCAAAACGAAAACAUGAUUUAUGCGUACAUAACUUUUUUACCGCCUUGGCGGACUCGAUUGGGAUAGCUCUCGAUCAAGGUAUCCCUGAUAACUGGGUAUGAGAAUGAUUUUGGCACAAACUAAAGCUUUUGAGAAAUUCAUAAGCCAUGUUGAUUACUCGAUUUAUAUGAAUUGAUUUUAUUUGGUUGAAACAAGUUGAAAGGUGAUGAAUUACAAUAUGUUAAACUAUUUUAUCUGUCUCCAUUUACUCGGCUGUAGAUAUUUUAGAUGGUAUUUGUUUACUCACUGAGAUUAUAUAAUCUCACCACCCUCCUUUUCACCCAUUUCAGGCUCAGAAUAGAUUGUAGAUAACUGAUAUCGUCGAGGACUACAGUUGGACUUGCCACAUCCAAAAGCUGUAGGUUCAUUUCUUUUUAUACUUUUAGUCAUUCGUGGGCCCAUGUGUCACUAUAAAUUAAAUUUUAUACUUUAGUUAUCUGUAUUAUAGUAUGUAUGAAUUUAUUUAGCUUUUACGCUAUAAAAAAUUAUUUACCUAUAACUCUAUAAAUAUUAUUUUAUAAAAAAAAUAGAAUAUUUUAUUGAAUAUUUUUUGUUAUAUUCAAAUAGAUAUAGUUUCGUUUUAAAUGAAUAUUUUAGACAUCUAAAUUUAUUUUUUAUUAUGAAAUAUGUGUUUUCCACUUGUAUACUACAUUUUUAACUGGUUUCGAGAUUUGUGAGGAAAAAUGACCAAAAUGCCCCUGUGAGAAAAAAAAUUAUUUUUUUGUAUUGAUUUGAUUUGGAAAUAGUUUAUAACCUCUCAAAACAUGUUAUAUUACAACUGUUGAUCAUAGGGGAGGUGAGGAAACUGAUAUUAAAGCCUUGCAAGGUUCCGAUCGGCAUUCCGGGAGAUGAAUGUCUAUUGGGGACAUCGCGACGGUUGUCACUGGCUCGAGGAGAGUACCGGGUCGUGACAAUAUUUCACAUACAUCCACAUAAAUAACAGAGU